rnacentral:tRNA from 1 species
AAGGAUUUAAGUUAAAAAAACUGUUAACCUUCAAAGUUAAAAUUAUCUUAAAAAUAAGCCUUA